UCUGACCAGCCAUGCCGCGUGCAGGAGAAGGCCUUCCUGGGUUGUAAACUGCUUUUGCCGGGGGAUAAAAUUCCCAUGCGUGGGACAUUGAAGGUACCCGGUGAAUAAGCCACGGCUAACUACGUGCCAGCAGCCGCGGUAAUACGUAGGUGGCAAGCGUUGUCCGGAUUUAUUGGGUUUAAAGGGUGCGUAGGCGGCCUAUUAAGUCAGUUCUGAAAUAUCCCGGCUUAACCGGGAGGGUGGGAUUGAUACUGAUGGGCUUGAGUGGAAUCGAGGUAGGCGGAAUUGACGGUGUAGCGGUGAAAUGCUUAGAUAUCGUCAAGAACACCGAUAGUGUAGACAGCUUACUAGACUUCAACUGACGCUGAGGCACGAAAGUGUGGGGAUCAAACAGGAUUAGAUACCCUGGUAGUCCACACUGUAAACGUUGAUUACUCGCUGUGUGCGAUAUACAGUACGCGGCUUAGCGAAAGCGAUAAGUAAUCCACCUGGGGAGUACGCCGGCAACGGUGAAACUCAAA
rnacentral:rRNA from 1 species